rnacentral:sRNA from 2 species
UAAGGUUACUUGUUUUAUAGUUUUAUGAAAUGACCCCUUGAUUCAGGCUUUUGAUACAUUAAGAUUUUAUAACGCACGAUAUGUGCAAGGAGGUUUCAUAUUAUGAAACAAGGUACUGUUAAAUGGUUCAACGCUGAUAAAGGUUACGGUUUUAUCACUACUGAAGACGGUGACGUAUUCGUUCACUUCUCAGCUAUCAACAAAGAAGGUUUCAAGACUCUAGAAGAAGGCGAAAAGGUUACAUUGGACGUUGAAGACGGCGACCGUGGACCACAAGCUGCUAACGUUACUCCUGCAUAAGGAUAACCUCUUAGUUAACUUUUAGUUUAAAAAGAGAUCAAAAACACCCGAGAUUUUCUCGGGUGUUUUUUU